UACAGAGGUCCCAAGCGUUGUUCGGAUUCACUGGGCGUAAAGGGUGCGUAGGUGGUCGGGUAAGUCUGAUGUGAAAUCUCCAAGCUCAACUUGGAAACUGCAUCGGAUACUAUUCGGCUGGAGGGUUGGAGGGGGGACUGGAAUGCUUGGUGUAGCAGUGAAAUGCGUAGAUAUCAAGCGGAACACCAGUGGCGAAGGCGAGUCCCUGGACAACUCCUGACACUGAGGCACGAAAGCUAGGGGAGCAAACAGG
rnacentral:rRNA from 1 species